rnacentral:rRNA from 1 species
UACAGAGGUCCCAAGCGUUGUUCGGAUUCAUUGGGCGUAAAGGGUGCGUAGGUGGCGUGGUAAGUCGGGUGUGAAAUCCCGGGGGCUCAACCCCCGGGACUGCAUUCGAUACUGCCGUGCUUGAGGACUGGAGAGGAGACUGGAAUUUACGGUGUAGCAGUGAAAUGCGUAGAGAUCGUAAGGAAGACCAGUGGCGAAGGCGGGUCUCUGGACAGUUCCUGACACUGAGGCACGAAGGCCAGGGGAGCAAACGGG